UAGAAUUUUUCUGUAGAGAAUGAUUAAGUAUUUUUUUACUAUUAGGAUGAGGAAAAUAUGAACUUGAAGGAUACAAUACGCUCUGAAGUCCGAAUUCAGCUGAAGAAAAUGGAAGCUGGAUGCCAAAAUAUGGCUUCAUUGUUGCAUUUGUUGGGAAUCAUGGUGGGCAGUUGGCCAAAUCCAUCUCCACAAGAGGUACAGACAGCUUACAAAAAAAGCCUUGCUGACCUUUCAUCCAGAUCGAGCCUCACGAUCUGAUAUCCAUAAGCUGGUUGAAGCUGAAGAAAAGUUUAAGCUCAUCCAUCGCAUGAAGGAAAAUUCCCUCUUUUGUGACACCGAGUGAGUUCCAGUUUGUACUCUCACCGUAAUUCUUUGCACCUUGAAUACAUGCGCCUUGAGUUGCUAAUGAUUCCCUGGCAAGCGGGUGAAGCAAGAUCCCAACUCCGUGCUGAGGCUUAACACUAAUGUAUAUGCUAGGCGAGUGAACAUAGUCGGGCGAAAGUGUGAACUUGUAGCGUUGAAGGAUCAUUGAGAG